UACGAAGGGGGCUAGCGUUGCUCGGAAUGACUGGGCGUAAAGGGCGCGUAGGCGGAUGACACAGUCAGAUGUGAAAUUCCCGGGCUUAACCUGGGGGCUGCAUUUGAGACGUGCUGUCUAGAGUGAGGAAGAGGGUUGUGGAAUUCCCAGUGUAGAGGUGAAAUUCGUAGAUAUUGGGAAGAACACCGGUGGCGAAGGCGGCAACCUGGUCCUUGACUGACGCUGAGGCGCGAAAGCGUGGGGAGCAAACAGG
rnacentral:rRNA from 1 species